rnacentral:rRNA from 1 species
GACAGAGGGUGCAACCGUUGCUCGGAAUCACUGGGCGUAAAGGGCGUGUAGGCGGGACGGUAAGUCGGGCGUGAAAUCCCUAGGCUCAACCUAGGAACUGCACUCGAAACUACCAUUCUUGAGUGUCGGAGAGGAAAGCGGAAUUCCUGGUGUAGAGGUGAAAUUCGUAGAUAUCAGGAGGAACACCAGUGGCGAAGGCGGCUUUCUGGACGAUAACUGACGCUGAGACGCGAAAGCGUGGGGAGCAAACAGG